UAUCAGCCCCGUCAGUUUCUUUUUCCCCCACGUCUCUGUAGUUCCUUUUCUUUUCCUCACAUCCAAGUCUCUCUCAACAUACCACACUCAGACCUCGCCUUUUUAAAAUUUGUCGUGCGAUUCGUGUACUGCAGUUCGUGGGUCUUCCCAAAUCUCUGUGUCGCCGUCAACGUCUUGCCAGACUCUUGUGGACAACGAUAACUCUCUCCCUCUUACGCUAUGUUCUCACUCUCACAACACCCACACAUGUCGAUCCUAAUGCACAAAUCCUUCUAUCAGAGAGCUUCUUCCCGUUGUGCAACACCACCUACGGUCAAUAUCAUCGCCGAUUCUCCCCUUCGCGCAUAGAACUCAACAGCAGUCACCACCUCACACGGCUACAUCGGAUUUAGAUAAAAAUUGAAUUGGUCCGUGACGAAAUUAAACCACCGGAGAUAACCUUUGCAAGAUUCAUUGCCUCGAUUAGUACUGAUAUGUAUUGCACAACCCUGUUCGAAGUGCUGCAAGGACAUUUCCAACGCCAUACAGUGUUCCGCUCUCUAAAUUCCACGGGGUCAUUGCACGUGAUUAGGUAUUGGAAUUGCUAGAGCUUAGACUCAAGAGCUAGACAAUACACUACAGGAGUUAGGGACGUUGCUGAUCUUCAGCUUGCAUGCCAUCAUGAUCUGAUUGCCACUAAUUAAACAGCUUGACCGGCACAAGAUGAAGUGCUGUUUUUUUAUGGUUGGUAAGGCUAAGGCCAACAGACUCUUCCAUGUUAAUAUCUUCCUCCUCCAUCCCAUACGGUAAUUUCCAAUCGAAACAAUAUAUAAGAUUUGCAAGUGCAAGCUCAACUGUUACUGUUGCCAUAUAUAUCGCAGGACAACCUCGCCGACCAGCUCCAAACGGCAAAAACUCAAAAUGUUGCCCUUUAUAGUCGAUGGAGCUAUCAAUGAACCUUUCUGGGAUGAAUUCUUCAGGUUUCUUCCAGUAUUCAGGAUCUCGUCCGAUUGCCCAAGCAUUAACUUGCAGUAGUGUUUUCGGGUAAAUGUCAUAACCGUUGAGGUUGAAGCGUGACAUGGUUUCUCUUGGGAGAAGCAGAGGGGCUGGAGGGUGCAAUCUCAAAGUUUCUUUCACUAUCAUCUUGAGGUAAGGAAGCUGAUCGGUAUCACUUUCAGUGACUUUUCCUUUGUUUCCAACCAAAUUUCUGACUUCAUCUUGUGCUCUCUUCAUCACUCUUGGGUUCUUUGCAAGCUCUGUCAUUGCCCAUAUUAUGGUAAUUGCACCAGGAAAAUGAUCUUAAUAGCCUUGGGAGAAAAGAUUGGCAGCUUACCAAGAGGAUUGCCUUGACGUUUUCCUUGGAGAAAUGAGCAGCACUAGGAUCAAUUUGCUCCCUUUCUAUUCUCAGCAGCACAUCGAUAAUGUCUUCGUGCUCUUGUUUUGCCAUCUCGGGGCGCAUGAGAUGAAGAUCAAUCACCUGUUGGAAAAAAUGAUCCAACUCACGGAAAAUCCUUUCAAGCCUUCGAAGUCUACCAGAGAGCCUAUCCAGAAUCCAUCCCACGUAUGGAAAACAUUCAGAGGCACUGAAGCUUCCCAAUAAGGAUUCAGCCUCAUGAACCACUUCUUGAAACCUUUCGUUAUCUAAAUCACUCCCACGGAAACUCUUACCAAAAGCAGCCCUACAAGUUAUAUUUGCAUUGAGAGCAAACAACUUCUCAGAAAGAUCAAUGAGGGUUGCAGAAGACGAAGAGUGAGAUAUUCCGUUGAUAAGCAUGGCGACUUCUUCUUCCCUAAUGAACCGGUAUGCUUGCACCCUCUUCAUGCUAAAAACCUCAAGAACGCAUAUUUUUUUCAUCUCUCUCCAAUAUUGGCCAUAGGGUGCGAAAGCCAUGUCUCGAUAGUUGUGUGUAAGUCUUCUAGAGUUGUCCGAGGAAGGUCUAUUGCAACAGUCAAGAUCAUGGACUUUUAAGGCCUCUCUUGCAACCUCAGCAGAAGAUAGAAUAACACUUGGGAUACCUCCGAGUUGAAGGAGUAUCACGGGGCCAUAUUUUUUUGAGAGUCGCCACAGAGAUUGGUGAGGCAAUUCACCAAGUUGGUGCAAGUUACCUAUAACGGGAAGCUUUGGUGGGCUUGGUGGAGGCUGCAUGCUUUGCCUUCGACUUCGAGCAUCCAUCUUCUUUUUCAUGAACAGCAGUAGGGGCAGAAAUAACAGAAGAACAAUCCACAUAGGUAUGGCAUAAAGAUCAGCCAUUAAUGAAUUAAGUUUGAUCUUCUAUGUGCACCCAGCUAACUUCCUGAUCUAGAACCCUGUACGUUCUUCACAUUUAAAUAAUAGUCAGUCACUUAAUUGCAGACUGGGCAACAAUCAUUUCCUUGUCUCCAUCGGGCUGCAGGGUGAUAAUACGUAAUGAGUCCUGCUACAUCUCGAUCGGCUCUCGGCCAAAAAUACUGUCAAUUUGUAAACUUUCAUGUGUGCACGGCUCCAGUUGGUAUAUAUAUUACUCCAAUUCCUCAA